AUUCCAGCUCCAAUAGCGUAUAUUAAAGUUGUUGCAGUUAAAAAGCUCGUAGUUGGAUUUCUGGCAGGAGUGACCGACCACAAACUCUGUUUGUGAGUUGUGUCAUUCUGGCCAUCCUUGGUAAGAUCCUUUUUGGCAUUAAGUUGUCGGGAAGGGGAUGACCAUCGUUUACUGUGAAAAAAUUAGAGUGUUUAAAGCAGGCUUAUGCCGUUGAAUAUAUUAGCAUGGAAUAAUAAGAUAGGACUUUGAGUCUAUUUUGUUGGUUUGCGCAUCAAGGUAAUGAUUAAUAGGGUCAGUUGGGGGUAUUCGUAUUCCGUUGUCAGAGGUGAAAUUCUUGGAUUUGCGGAAGACGAACGACUGCGAAAGCAUUUACCAAGGAUGUUUUCAUCG
rnacentral:rRNA from 1 species